rnacentral:misc_RNA from 1 species
GAUGAAGAACGCAGCGAAAUGCGAUAAGUAAUGUGAAUUGCAGAAUUCAGUGAAUCAUCGAAUCUUUGAACGCACCUUGCGCUCCUUGGUAUUCCGAGGAGCAUGCCUGUUUGAGUGUCAUGAAAUUCUCAACCUUUUCAGCUUUCUUUGUUGAUCAGGCUUGGAUGUGGGAGUAUGCGGGCUUCUCAGAAGUCGGCUCUCCUGAAAUGCAUUAGCGGGACCUUUGUUGCCUGGCUUUGGUGUGAUAAUUAUCUACGCCAUUGUGGUCAAGCAGCUUAAAAUGAGGUUUCAGCUUCUAACCGUCUCCCCUGAGACAACUUUUUGACAAUUUGACCUCAAAUCAGGUAGGACUACCCGCUGAACUUAAGCAUAUCAAUAAGCGGAGA